rnacentral:rRNA from 1 species
UACGAAGGGGGCGAGCGUUGUUCGGAUUUACUGGGCGUAAAGGGCGCGUAGGCGGCGGGUCAAGUCGAGUGUGAAAGCCCCGGGCUCAACCUGGGAAUUGCGCUCGAGACUGGUCUGCUUGAGUUCGGGAGAGGAGAGUGGAAUUCCCAGUGUAGAGGUGAAAUUCGUAGAUAUUGGGAAGAACACCGGUGGCGAAGGCGGCUCUCUGGACCGAGACUGACGCUGAGACGCGAAAGCGUGGGAGCGAACAGG